rnacentral:rRNA from 1 species
ACUCAAAUGAAUUGACGGGGGCCCGCACAAGCGGUGGAGCAUGUGGUUUAAUUCGAUGCAACGCGAAAAACCUUACCUACUCUUGACAUCCUGCGAAUCUGGCUGAAAGGCUGGAGUGCCGAAAGGAGCGCAGAGACAGGUGCUGCAUGGCUGUCGUCAGCUCGUGUUGUGAGAUGUUGGGUUAAGUCCCGUAACGAGCGCAACCCUUGUCCUUAGUUGCCAUCAUUUAGUUGGGGACUCUAAGGAGACUGCCGGUGUUGAACCGGAGGAAGGCGGGGACGACGUCAAGUCAUCAUGGCCUUUAUGAGUAGGGCUACACACGUGCUACAAUGGGGCGUACAGAGAGUCGCGAAACUGCAAAGUGGAGCCAAUCUCGAAAAGCGUCUCGUAGUCCGGAUCGGAGUCUGCAACUCGACUCCGUGAAGUCGGAAUCGCUAGUAAUCGCGAAUCAGCAUGUCGCGGUGAAUACGUUCCCGGGCCUUGUACACACCGCCCGU